GACUUGAAAUGACCACGAGAAGGCUGUCGCCCUGUAGGGACUCAUCUCCAAUGAGACAGAUGUUCAUAGACACAACGAAAUAUGAUGGUACAUGCGCUAACGUAGACCAGCACUACUCAAAAGCGAGGCCCGAGGCCCAGUAGUCUGAGAUAAGCACAGCAAUUCGAAGCAGGAUCAGUCCUUGAUAGAUGGGAAAGAGCACAGGUAACCACAGAAACAAAACUGACCCUUCACCGAAGGUCCUUUGAGAAACACAGAGGCCUCAUCAACAGCAUAAGAACAAUGAAAGGGAGAGAGGUGUGUGGCCAACAAUAACACAGGCUGCCUGCUCCAUCUCAGCUGCCUCUGCAGCACAUCUGCCACUGAAAACCAACCAUCUGGAGUCUCUGGGUCCUCCAGACACUUCCGGAAGCCCUGGAAGACAGCACCAUGCUUCUCAAGUGGCUGCCGAGCAGACUAGGUGGUACAA